rnacentral:lncRNA from 1 species
UUUAUCAUCAUUUUAACUUUUUAUUUUUUAAUAAUAAUAUUAAUGGACCAACAUACUAAAAAAUCUCAAAAUAGAUAAGAACAUGCAAAAAGGUCAUUUUAGCCUCUGGCCUUAAUCAGUAUUUUUAAGGACACCAACUGCUGUGUGAACAAUAACGACAGAACUGCUGGAGCGGUAGUACAGCGUGUUGGAGUAGAUAAGAGACUGCUUUGUCAUCUGGUUGGAUGGAGGGAGGACAACAUGCGAUGUAACAGUUGACCCCAACUGCUUCCAAACAGUAGGCUACUGCAUAGCAGUUGAAAGAGGGUUAAUAAAACAAACAAUAAUAAAUACUUUUGGAUUAAACAAAUUAACCAAAUUAUAUUCCUGCCAUUUUACAUUCAUCUUUGUGUGUCAAUUAACCUGAUUAUAGACUUUCCCUAGCUCUUGAUCAUGACUCUGUUCCAUUGCCUUACACAUGUCUUUUGUUAAGCAAUAUGAUCAUAUCAGCGAUAAAUAAUUUUUGUUAAAUUGAUACUCACCUUUGUAGGGGUAGGGCUAGUGUUCCCACACGGCCAUAUAUCCAUGUUACAGCUCGUGUUUAUGGAAGACCGAGGCUGCGUUUCAAACUCAUAAAAGACACACACUCCUCCACUUACCCUCGCCUUAUGCACUUGAGGGAAUCCCCGCGGCCAUCUUUGUCGUUGGUCCAAAUGAUUAGCCAAUCAAGGAAAGUUGACAACGUAAGCCCCUCAGCCCUCAUUUUUGAUCGAGUUUGCGAGUGUACAAUUAUGUUCACUCCGGGGCCUGAAAAGCCCCAUAAUUCAAUUUGCGAUUAUUGUACAUCCGCUAAGUCAGGCAAAAUGUAAAACAAUCAUUACUAUGGAGAAGUCAGCAUGCAAGUGAUGGGUACCAAAGCUAAAGUGCACAUGUACCAUCAUGGAUACCUUACAAGGAGGAAGUGAAUGAUAUAGUGAAUGAUAAGUGAAAUGAUCUGUAAACAAUUGUUGGAAAAAUUACUUGUCAUGCACAAAGUAGAUGUCCUAACCGACUUGCCAAAACUAUAGUUUGUUAACAAGAAAUUUGUGGAGGGGUUGAAUAAUGAGUUUUAAUGACUCCAACCUAAGUGUAUGUAAACUUCUGACUUCAACUGUAAAAUGAUAUUCUACUAACUGUAAAUGAAUUAAUGUAGACAUAGAUAUGAUGACUCGACUCUUUAGCCAAUCAAACUGUAAAGGCUUCGUGCAGUUAACUAAAUCUCAGAGGUUCAUUGCUUGGAAUCAUGUGUAGAGAGAACUUAGUCUGUUGGGAAGGCUGAAUUUGAUUUCCACUUUGUUGCAUGAGAGACCAUUUGAUUACCUUGCACAGAUGCCUGUUGUCAAGUAGAGAACAGCAGGCCCAUCUCUCCUCUUAAUAACAUUCUGGAAUGCACCCAUCCCUUCUGGCCAUCAUGGGGUGUCAGCACUGCAAGAGACAACAUAAAAGAGAUGUCAUCUUCACUGUUUGAAUCUACUUGGUGGGGACGAUCAGUGAUGGUCCUGUACUAUGAAUCAUUUUCACCUGUGGAGUUUCAUGACCUGCCCCCCGAGGUGAAGCAGUGGGAUGGACCGAGACAUCGAUAAUUAGGGUCAUUAGCCAGGGCUGGGAAGCUUCCCACUGGACACAGAUGUCAGUUCAUCAUCUAGUUUUGAUUUACAUUUGAUUGAGUUGUCAGCUAACAUGAAUUCAACAUGAAAUUAACAAAAAAUGUCACAAGGUCAUUGGAUUUAGGUUAAAAGUUGAGAGAAAAAAAUACUAAAUUCCAUUUACGUUGAUGACUUUUUUUCAAAUUCAAUCAGUUUUCCAUGUUGAUUCAACGUCGUCAUAUAAAAUGUUGGGGUUGAAAUGACAUGGAAACAAUAUUGAUUCAACCAGUUUUUGCCCAGUGGGUUGUGGUUUGACUGUCAACAAUAAGUGUCAUCACAAACAGGUUUGUCGAGGACCUAUUGUGAAAAAGGCUUUCUCUGGCAGGUGUAGAUUUAAUUAUGUUCCCACUAGAAACGAGGCAAGCCUGCUAACUGACUUAACGUGUACAUCCCGUCAUGCCAAUACAGAAUAGGAGAAAUCCUGUCGCUUCUCUUAUUUUUCACAUUUAUAAAACUGAGCUCAUUUAGGCCCCUUCAGUUGAUUAUUCUGUCUGUAAAUUAUUGUAAUAUGGUGCAAAAAUAUCUACUUAAUAUGAAGCCUAUAUACUGGAGAUGAUAAAGCAAUGCCACGAAUGGAGAAAAGUCAAGUCAUGUGAAUAUGCCCAACAGCGCCCCUACACUCCUGGGAAGUAUCCUACAUGGUGUUUUGGUUUGUUUACAUCUAGGUAUAUCAAGUGCGCACUGUCAUGCAAUCACAACACCACAUAUGUCAGUAUGGCCUUCAUUCACAUAACAGUCAUAAGAUUCAUAUUAAUAUAAGUAAGUAGCACGCAUAGUCCUUUUAUAAACGCGAACUUAUUAUAAACAUGACUAUAGUCUACAGUAACUUCAUUUAAUCAGUAACAACUUGUUUGUAAACAACUACUUUUUUUGUUAUUUUUCUGUCUCGUUUUUAUUAUUGGGCUCUGUUGUGUUUGAUGUUUUAUACCGCCAUGAGGAAAUAAGUAGUGACCAUGCCAAUAUUAAGUGCAAGUGCGUAACAUCCUCCUCGCUCCUAUUUACGCACAUCCAUCUCUUGCGCAGCAUCCUAUUCCCAAUCCCCGCUUCACGCUCCAUCUCGUCGCCAACAGUUUUAGCCUGCCUAACAUUCCUCUAUCCAAAACAAAUAGCAUGAAGCCGAUUACUUAAUAUAGGCUAUGUUUCUGAGGGUUUCCAGUAUCUGCGGCGUAGGCUACAAUUCCCACCGGAUUCCAUUGCAUUUGUCACAAUAGCACUCGCUCUGACGCAGACAAAUGUAACUAUUUACCUGUCGCUCAUAAUUGAGAAUGGUAAUUGUAUUCGAUUAGUUUACUACCUCCACUAUAUGUAUCGUUUACUAAAUUGGCAUUUUCAUAUUUAUUUGAAAGUGAAGAGCAUUUUAAGAGGACCAUAUCCACAAUCACUAUAUUAUAGGCUAUAUCAGAUUUGUUUAUAGAUGUUUGUGAUAACACAUUGUAUUAGUUAAAUGUGUCGUUACAACAUCGUUUGCAUUAGGCUACUGAAAUUGGCAACACGUUUCUGUAAUUCCUAGAAUAAAAUUAUGAUUUAGCCUGAUAGCUUACCUCAACGUAUGUCUUCUUUCCUCCCUUGGCGACCCUUUCGGUUAGAUCAUGUUUUCAAUAACUGGAUAGCACCUGUUUCCAUGAAGCACCCCUCACAUUAUUACAGUAUCCCCAUCGAUUUUUCCAUAGCGCAACACGAGAAGCCCGCCCCUGACACUCCCCCUUCUGCUGGUUGGCCAGGCCUUGGUGAAUUAUUUUGCCUACGUCGGAAUCACAUGUGGUUGACGCAUGUUUACAAACAUUGGAUGAGAUCACAUGGUGAUGGGACCCAGUUUACAGUAAACCAUUCGACAUUAAGCAUAAAUUAGUGCUCGUCUGCUUGUAGGCCUAAAAACCGAAAUGAGUUACCUCUGGUUCUUUCGGACAUUCCUAUGGGGAAAGUUGAUGGCGUUUUGGGAUAAACACCGAAAAUAAAGUAUAAGGGUAACAAAGGCUUAGGAGAUCUUAUACGUUUUGUUCUAUGAAAUAAUAUCAGUCAGUCAACAUUACCUGUAUGAAUUAUUAAGCCUUUAUGUGCUUGUUUUGAUUAAACAAAUGCUUCAAAAAGUUAGCUGAUUUAAGAUUAUCUCAUAGAACUAAAAACGUCUAAGAUCUCCUAAGCAUGUGUUUACAAUAGACCGUAUUUUCGGUGUUCAUCAAAAAACCGUCAGAAACCUCAUUAAUUGACCAACUAGCCAUGCAGGACUUAGUGCCUACAAAAAUACUGCAUUACUAUAGCUCGCCAGACUGUAGUCCUAAAAAAACGGAAAUGAAACCUCUGGUUCGUUCCGCCAUUACUAAGGCAUUGUGAAUGCAGAAAAUAAGGUAUGAGGUUAAGAGAUCUUAUACAUUUUGUUCUAUAUUAUUAUUAUUAUUAUUAUUAUUAUUAUUAUAACAGUCAGUUAAAACAUGACCUGUAUGAAUUUUGAAGCCAUUAUGUGCUUAUUUUGAUUACGUAAAUGCUUCAAAAUUCACAAAAAGUGAUGUUAGCCGAUGAAUAUUAUCUCAGAGAACAAAACGUAUAGGUCUACAAAGCCUGUGUUUACAACAGACCUUCUUUUCCGGAUUCAUCCAAAAACCCUACAAAAUCCCAUUAAUUUCCGUUAGUGCCUACAAAAAGACGGCAUUACUAUUGCUCUCUAUACUAGUAGUUGUAAAGUAUUAUAUAAUCCCUUCGGCCUCAAAAUAAACAUUCACAUGGCUAUACUAUUGCCUUUAACAUGUUUAUAAUAGGUCUAUGGGAUUCUAUAAGCUUAUAGUAGGAUGGUAUAAGGUACAAAAGCAUUUUUCAGAUAUUAAAAUGUAUUACAUAAGUAUUACACAAUGUCUAAUGUUCUUGGAGAAAGUGGUACUUGAUGUUCUGUUCCCUCCUGUUUUGGUAUGCGGCAGCGGGAGAAAAAUUUGUGCCAGCCAGGGAGUUCGAUUUAGCUCGCCCGGGUUUCCCCAUAGAGAGGAGCUUACCCAGAGUUAAAACGGAUUGUAUUCGUUUUGAAACCGAGCUGCCUUCCGGGAAUGAGCCGGAUGCCCCUUUGAAUGCCGACGGCGAAGUCGGCGGGGGAAAAAAGUGUAUGUCAAGCAUAUGGAGUAAUGAGUUUGGAUUCAGUAUUUUCACGUGCAAAAGUGUAAAAACGCAUAAGCUGCCUUUCCAAGGAAAACUACUUUGAAAAUGUUAACGUGUUUUAUAUUUCUCAAAGAUUCGUCAUGCUGUUUUGUUGUCAUUAAGGCCUGGUGAUUCUCGAUUUGAGUCGGGUGCUCCUCCCUCACCGCUUUUGCCUCGUAAUGUGCCGUUUUUAGCCCAGUUCACCCCGGUUCAGUCUAAUCCAACUCCCUUAGUGUCCCUGAACUGUUAUUGUAAUUCCUUCUUCAAUACAGCAGAGGGCAAUAUAAUACAGAGGAGACACUGGCCUACACAAGUUGCCAUUACUUUGCUGCGUAGUUUGAUUUGAACAGCCAUACGAAGUAACAGGCCCCAUAUCUCAUUUUCUGAUCGAAGGGUUUUGUCUAGCUUUGUGUGUUCUUUGCAUCUCUAUCCCUGUGCAUUUUUACAACAAAUGAAAAUCAAAACACAUUCAUAAUUUGAUAAAAAAUCAUUGCUGACUUUUUGGUGGUAUGAUUACUGGC